rnacentral:rRNA from 1 species
AUGUUACCAGAGGAUGAACACAAAACAGCUUUCAAAACUCACAGUGGACAAUAUCAAUUUAGGGUGAUGCCCUUUGGUCUUACUAAUGCCCCCUCCACUUUUCAAUGCAUCAUGAAUUGGAUUUUUGCUGCUUACAACAGAAAAUUUGUUCUUGUCUUCAUGGAUGAUAUCUUAAUCUUUAGUGAGACCCUGGAAGAACAUUUGGAACAUCUCAGAAUAGUGUUUCAAACCUUAAGAGAGCAUCAAUUCUUUGCUAAGAGUACCAAAUGCACUUUUGCACAACAACAGUUGGAAUAUCUAGGACACAUCAUUUCUGACAAAGGGCUUCAGACAGAUCCUGAGAAAACUUUGGCUAUGGCCAGGUGGCCUACUCCUCAGAACAUGACUGAAUUAAGAGGGUUUUUGGGGCUCACGGGAUAUUACAGGAAGUUUGUGCAAGGAUAUGGUAUAAUUGCUAAGCCACUCACUCAACUACUGAAGAAACAAGCCUUU